UUGACUUAUUGUAUAAGUUACUCAGAGAGGCCAAUGAUGCAAGAGUUUCAGGCUUCUGACGGGUUGCCAGCUCCGCGAGGGGAGCCCGCGCGGCCUAGGUUUCCCCGGGCCACCCGCCGAAGCAACGGUGAGGUAGAUUCACAAUGGUUGGGAGUUUUGCAACUCUGUAAUGAUCCCUCCGCUGGUUCACCAACGGAGA
rnacentral:misc_RNA from 1 species